rnacentral:tRNA from 1 species
GGCUGGGUAGCUCGGUAGGUUAGAGCAAUGCAUUCAUAACGCAUAGGUCGCGGGUUCGAGCCCCGCCCCAGCUA